rnacentral:rRNA from 1 species
UACGUAGGGUGCAAGCGUUGUCCGGAAUUAUUGGGCGUAAAGAGCUUGUAGGCGGUUUGUCGCGUCUGCUGUGAAAUUUCGGGGCUCAACCCCGAACUUGCAGUGGGUACGGGCAGACUAGAGUGUGGUAGGGGAGACUGGAAUUCCUGGUGUAGCGGUGAAAUGCGCAGAUAUCGGGAGGAACACCGGUGGCGAAGGCGGUUCUCUGGGACGGUACUGACGCUGAGACGCGAAAGCGUGGGGAGCGAACAGG